GAUGAAGAACGUAGCGAAAUGCGAUAAGUAAUGUGAAUUGCAGAAUUCAGUGAAUCAUCGAAUCUUUGAACGCACCUUGCGCCUUUUGGUAUUCCGAAAGGCACACCUGUUUGAGCGUCAUGAAUACCUCAAUCUCCAUCUUUUCUUCGGAUUGAUGGGUGACUUGGAUGUUGAGCCCUGCUGGUAUGGUAUAUCAGCUGGCUUUAAACUUAUUAGCCGGCUCUGUACUGGAUCGGUUUGACUCGACGUGAUAAUAUUAUCGUUGAGGAUGCAUGUCUCAUGCAGCCGGAAAGUAUCAAAGCAGCUUCUAGCUUGCCUUUAGUGCACUUUUACAUUUUAGACCUCAGAUCAGGUGGGACUACCCGCUGAACUUAAGCAUAUCAAUAAGCGGAGGA
rnacentral:misc_RNA from 1 species